rnacentral:rRNA from 1 species
ACGGCCAUACCAUGGUAGAAUAUACCGGUUCUCGUUAGAUCACCGAAGUCAAGCAUCAUUGGGCACGAUCAGUACUUGGGAGGGUGACCACCUGGGAACACCGCGUGCCGUU